GACGUAGGGCGCGAGCGUUGUCCGGAUUUAUUGGGCGUAAAGAGCUCGUAGGCGGCUUGUCGCGUCGUCCGUGAAAACCUGCAGCUUAACUGUGGGCGUGCGGUCGAUACGGGCAUCACUGGAGUUCGGCAGGGGAGACUGGAAUUCCUGGUGUAGCGGUGAAAUGCGCAGAUAUCAGGAGGAACACCGGUGGCGAAGGCGGGUCUCUGGGCCGAUACUGACGCUGAGGAGCGAAAGCGUGGGGAGCAAACAGG
rnacentral:rRNA from 1 species